UACAGAGGUCCCGAGCGUUGUUCGGAUUCAUUGGGCGUAAAGGGUGCGUAGGCGGCGGGGCAAGUCUGAUGUGAAAUCCCGGGGCUCAACCCCGGAACUGCAUUGGAUACUGCCUUGCUUGAGUACUGGAGAGGGAACUGGAAUUUACGGUGUAGCAGUGAAAUGCGUAGAUAUCGUAAGGAAGGCCGGUGGCGAAGGCGAGUUCCUGGACAGUUACUGACGCUGAGGCACGAAGGCCAGGGGAGCAAACGGG
rnacentral:rRNA from 1 species